rfam:Saprolegnia parasitica CBS 223.65 unplaced genomic scaffold supercont2.19, whole genome shotgun sequence.
GCUCCUAUGGUGUAAUGGUUAGCACUCUGGACUUUGAAUCCAGCGAUCCGGGUUCAAAUCCCGGUAGGAGCU